rnacentral:lncRNA from 1 species
UAUAAGUCAUACAUAUGCAAAAAUUAUAUUAAUAUAUCAUGUAACUUUUAUAUUUUUGAAGUGUUUCCAUAGGUAUUCUUUUACUUGAUAUAAUUGGUAUUUUUAAAAACUCUAAGUGCCUUAAUACCAUGUUGGGGUUUGGAAAAUGAUACCACAAAGCAUGGUGCUUUGGCAUGCUGAGUACUUUGAACUAAAGGAGAUUGAAAGGCCUCAGAAGCAGUUUCUCUCUGACCUCCUUCUGCCCUCCUGUCUCCCACCUCUCUUUCUCCCCCAAAGUGAGUCAUGGAAACUAAAGGCAGGUCAUAGAAACUAAAACCCCUCUUCCCAAAGGAAGCUACAAAACCUAGAAAUAUUACCAUUCCUCACUCUUCUGUGUAAGAGCAGACAUAAAGAAUAGAGAAAUAAAGAAAUUAUCUACCCUACCUUGUUGGAUAGUAGGUCCCCUUUCCAAAGGAGUCCUGCUCUAAACCCAGGAGGAGGGAAAGCUAUACGGAGAGGCCAAGAAGAAUCUGAACAGACAGACUGGGUCUGUUCUCAGUCUAUUACCAUUGGAUCUUACCCUUUUGUCCAACCACAUCUACAUGGCUGCCCACUCUUCAUUGAACCUAAGCACAAAAAUGGACAGAGCGAGACUCUCUCAAAAAAAUAAACAGGCUGGGCAUGGUGGCUCAUGCCUGCAACCCCAGCAUUUUGGUAGGCAGAGCCAGGAGGACCCCAUCUGUAUUAAACCAGAGAGACCCCAUCUCUAUUAAAAAAAAAUAGACAGGUUUCCCUGGGUUUUUCCGUCUUCAUUUCUGAAGGUUCCCAUGUCACCUAAAACUUUGAUUAAACAAAUGUGUUGUGC